rnacentral:rRNA from 1 species
CACUCCUGCGGGAGGCAGCAGUGGGGAAUUUUGGACAAUGGGCGAAAGCCUGAUCCAGCAAUGCCGCGUGAGUGAAGAAGGCCUUCGGGUUGUAAAGCUCUUUUGUCAGGGAAGAAACGGUGAGAGCUAAUAUCUCUUGCUAAUGACGGUACCUGAAGAAUAAGCACCGGCUAACUACGUGCCAGCAGCCGCGGUAAUACGUAGGGUGCAAGCGUUAAUCGGAAUUACUGGGCGUAAAGCGUGCGCAGGCGGUUUUGUAAGUCUGAUGUGAAAUCCCCGGGCUCAACCUGGGAAUUGCAUUGGAGACUGCAAGGCUAGAAUCUGGCAGAGGGGGGUAGAAUUCCACGUGUAGCAGUGAAAUGCGUAGAUAUGUGGAGGAACACCGAUGGCGAAGGCAGCCCCCUGGGUCAAGAUUGACGCUCAUGCACGAAAGCGUGGGGAGCAAACAGGAUUAGAAACCCGAGUAGUCCCAU